UACGUAGGUGGCGAGCGUUGUCCGGAAUUACUGGGUGUAAAGCGCGUGUAGGCGGGAGGCCAAGUCUGCUGUGAAAUCGCCCGGCUCAACUGGGCGGGGUCGGUGGAAACUGGUCACCUGGAGGACGGUAGAGGCGAGUGGAAUUCCUGGUGUAGCGGUGAAAUGCGCAGAUAUCAGGAAGAACACCUAUGGCGAAGGCAGCUCUCUGGGACGGUACUGACGCUGAGACGCGAAAGCGUGGGGAGCGAACAGG
rnacentral:rRNA from 1 species